rnacentral:lncRNA from 1 species
UGGAAGGAAGUAGAUGGACUGAUAAACGAUUAUGCAAGAGAACCCAAGAAGAGCAAGUGAAUUUCGGCUUUGCGGAGACCCCAAUCUGAUUCAGUUCUCAUACAGAAUGAACUCUUUAAAGUGUUGUGAUUUUUGCAUAAAAUGUUGGUAGCCACAAUGAAUUUGAAAGACACUCUACUCCAUCAUUUAUAAUGAACACUGGGGUUCCAAACCUAUUUUGUACGUAGACCUUUCAAUUUGACUCCAGAUUGACUACUUUUCUAAUUAC